GAUGAACGCUGGCGGCGUGCCUAAUACGUGCAAGUCGAACGAAACUUCUUUAUCACCGAGUGCUUGCACUCACCGAUAAAGAGUUGAGUGGCGAACGGGUGAGUAACACGUGGGCAACCUGCCCAAAAGAGGGGGAUAACACUUGGAAACAGGUGCUAAUACCGCAUAACCAUAGUUACCGCAUGGUAACUAUGUAAAAGGUGGCUAUACUACCGCUUUUGGAUGGGCCCGCGGCGCAUUAGCUAGUUGGUAGGGUAAAGGCUUACCAAGGCAAUGAUGCGUAGCCGAAUUGAGAGGUUGAUCGGCCACAUUGGGACUGAGACACGGCCCAAACUCCUACGGGAGGCAGCAGUAGGGAAUCUUCCACAAUGGGCGAAAGCCUGAUGGAGCAACGCCGCGUGGGUGAAGAAGGUCUUCGGAUCGUAAAACCCUGUUGUUAGAGAAGAAAGUGCGUGAGAGUAACUGUUCACGUUUCGACGGUAUCUAACCAGAAAGCCACUGCUAACUACGUG
rnacentral:rRNA from 1 species